CGUACACUCCUACGGGAGGCAGCAGUGGGGAAUAUUGGACAAUGGGCGCAAGCCUGAUCCAGCCAUGCCGCGUGAGUGAUGAAGGCCCUAGGGUUGUAAAGCUCUUUCACCGGAGAAGAUAAUGACGGUAUCCGGAGAAGAAGCCCCGGCUAACUUCGUGCCAGCAGCCGCGGUAAUACGAAGGGGGCUAGCGUUGUUCGGAAUUACUGGACGUAAAGCGCACGUAGGCGGAUCGAUCAGUCAGGGGUGAAAUCCCAGGGCUCAACCCUGGAACUGCCUUUGAUACUGUCGAUCUGGAGUAUGGAAGAGGUGAGUGGAAUUCCGAGUGUAGAGGUGAAAUUCGUAGAUAUUCGGAGGAACACCAGUGGCGAAGGCGGCUCACUGGUCCAUUACUGACGCUGAGGUGCGAAAGCGUGGGGAGCAAACAGGAUUAGAAACCCCGGUAGUCCCAU
rnacentral:rRNA from 1 species